rnacentral:rRNA from 1 species
CAGCCACACUGGGACUGAGACACGGCCCAGACUCCUACGGGAGGCAGCAGUGGGGAAUCUUGCGCAAUGGGCGAAAGCCUGACGCAGCAACGCCGCGUGGAGGACGAAGGCUUUCUGAGUUGUAAACUCCUUUCAGCAGGGACGAUAGUGACGGUACCUGCAGAAGAAGCACCGGCCAACUACGUGCCAGCAGCCGCGGUGAUACGUAGGGUGCAAGCGUUGUCCGGAUUUAUUGGGCGUAAAGAGCUCGUAGGCGGUUUGAUAAGUCGGGUGUGAAACCUCCAGGCUCAACCUGGAGCCGCCACUCGAUACUGUCAUGACUAGAAUUCGGUAGGGGACCACGGAAUUCCUGGUGUAGCGGUGAAAUGCGCAGAUAUCAGGAGGAACACCAGCAGCGAAGGCGGUGGUCUGGGCCGACAUUGACGCUGAGGAGCGAAAGCGUGGGGAGCGAACAGGAUUAGAUACCCUGGUAGUCCACGCCGUAAACGUUGGGCACUAGGUGUGGGGACUAUUCAACGGUUUCCGUGCCGCAGCUAACGCAUUAAGUGCCCCGCCUGGGGAGUACGGCCGCAAGGCUAAAACUCAAAGGAAU